rnacentral:rRNA from 1 species
AUGAGGCUCGCCACUGUGAUUGGAAAUAUUAUCUCCCCGGCACAAAGUGCAUUCCAGAAGCACAAGAGCAUCCAAGACAGUUUCCUAUAUGUGCAAAACUGCGUUAGAUCUCUACACCGAAAAAACAAACCUUCGCUCUUACUGAAACUAGAUAUAGCUAGAGCCUUCGACUCUGUGUCUUGGGAGUACUUGCUAGAGCUUCUGCAUCGGUUAGGUUUUAGCACUCGCUGGAGAGACUGGAUCGCCCCUCUCUUGUCCACCUCCUCCUCUCGGUGCUCCCUGAACGGGACCCUCUGUGACGCCGUGCUCCAUGCUUGCGGCCGAUGUCAGGGUGAUCCUCUCUUGCCAUUGUUGUUCAUCAUCGCCAUCGACCCUAUGCACCGCUUGCUGGAGCGUGCCAUGGCCAUGGGGCUGCUCUCCCCUCUGCCAGACCCCUGCAUCAAAGUACGGAUUAGUUUAUAUGCUGAUGACGCUGAUACGUCUCCGUCAUAUCUAUAA